GACGAACGCUGGCGGCGUGCCUAAUACAUGCAAGUUGAGCGCUGAAGGUUGGUACUUGUACCAACUGGAUGAGCAGCGAACGGGUGAGUAACGCGUGGGGAAUCUGCCUUUGAGCGGGGGACAACAUUUGGAAACGAAUGCUAAUACCGCAUAAAAACUUUAAACACAAGGUUUAAGUUUGAAAGAUGCAAUUGCAUCACUCAAAGAUGAUCCCGCGUUGUAUUAGCUAGUUGGUGAGGUAAAGGCUCACCAAGGCGAUGAUACAUAGCCGACCUGAGAGGGUGAUCGGCCACAUUGGGACUGAGACACGGCCCAAACUCCUACGGGAGGCAGCAGGAGGGAAUCGUCGGGAAUGGACGAAAGUCUGACCGAGCAACGCCGAGGGAGUGAAGAAGGUUGUCGGAUCGUAAAACUCUGUUGGUAGGGAGGAACGUUGGUGAGAGUGGAAAGCUCAUCAAGUGACGGUAACUACCCAGAAAGGGACGGCUAACUACGUG
rnacentral:rRNA from 1 species